rnacentral:rRNA from 1 species
ACGAACGCUGGCGGCGUGCUUAACACAUGCAAGUCGAACGGAAAGGCCCUGCUUUUGUGGGGUGCUCGAGUGGCGAACGGGUGAGUAACACGUGAGUAACCUGCCCUUGACUUUGGGAUAACUUCAGGAAACUGGGGCUAAUACCGGAUAGGAGCUCCUGCUGCAUGGUGGGGGUUGGAAAGUUUCGGCGGUUGGGGAUGGACUCGCGGCUUAUCAGCUUGUUGGUGGGGUAGUGGCUUACCAAGGCUUUGACGGGUAGCCGGCCUGAGAGGGUGACCGGCCACAUUGGGACUGAGAUACGGCCCAGACUCCUACGGGAGGCAGCAGUGGGGAAUAUUGCACAAUGGGCGGAAGCCUGAUGCAGCAACGCCGCGUGCGGGAUGACGGCCUUCGGGUUGUAAACCGCUUUCGCCUGUGACGAAGCGUGAGUGACGGUAAUGGGUAAAGAAGCACCGGCUAACUACGUGCCAGCAGCCGCGGUGAUACGUAGGGUGCGAGCGUUGUCCGGAUUUAUUGGGCGUAAAGGGCUCGUAGGUGGUUGAUCGCGUCGGAAGUGUAAUCUUGGGGCUUAACCCUGAGCGUGCUUUCGAUACGGGUUGACUUGAGGAAGGUAGGGGAGAAUGGAAUUCCUGGUGGAGCGGUGGAAUGCGCAGAUAUCAGGAGGAACACCAGUGGCGAAGGCGGUUCUCUGGGCCUUUCCUGACGCUGAGGAGCGAAAGCGUGGGGAGCGAACAGGCUUAGAUACCCUGGUAGUCCACGCUGUAAACGGUGGGUACUAGGUGUGGGGUCCAUUCCACGGGUUCCGUGCCGUAGCUAACGCUUUAAGUACCCCGCGUGGGGAGUACGGCCGCAAGGCUAAAACUCAAAGGAAUUGACGGGGCCCCGCACAAGCGGCGGAGCAUGCGGAUUAAUUCGAUGCAACGCGUAGAACCUUACCUGGGUUUGACAUGGAUCGGGAGUGCUCAGAGAUGGGUGUGCCUCUUUUGGGGUCGGUUCACAGGUGGUGCAUGGCUGUCGUCAGCUCGUGUCGUGAGAUGUUGGGUUAAGUCCCGCAACGAGCGCAACCCUUGUUCACUGUUGCCAGCACGUUAUGGUGGGGACUCAGUGGAGACCGCCGGGGUCAACUCGGAGGAAGGUGGGGAUGACGUCAAGUCACCAUGCCCCUUAUGUCCAGGGCUUCACGCAUGCUACAAUGGCUGGUACAGAGAGUGGCGAGCCUGUGAGGGUGAGCGAAUCUCGGAAAGCCGGUCUCAGUUCGGAUUGGGGUCUGCAACUCGACCUCAUGAAGUCGGAGUCGCUAGUAAUCGCAGAUCAGCAACGCUGCGGUGAAUACGUUUCCGGGGCUUGUACACACCGCCCGUCAAGUCAUGAAAGUUGGUAACACCCGAAGCCGGUGGCCUAACCGUUGUGGGGGAGCCGUCGAAGGUGGGAC